rnacentral:rRNA from 1 species
GAUGAACGCUGGCGGCGUGCCUAAUACAUGCAAGUCGAGCGAACGGACGAGAAGCUUGCUUCUCUGAUGUCAGCGGCGGACGGGUGAGUAACACGUGGAUAACCUACCUAUAAGACUGGGAUAACUUCGGGAAACCGGAGCUAAUACCGGAUAAUAUUUUGAACCGCAUGGUUCAAAAGUGAAAGACGGUCUUGCUGUCACUUAUAGAUGGAUCCGCGCUGCAUUAGCUAGUUGGUAAGGUAACGGCUUACCAAGGCAACGAUGCAUAGACGACCUGAGAGGGUGAUCGGCCACACUGGAACUGAGACACGGUCCAGACUCCUACGGGAGGCAGCAGUAGGGAAUCUUCCGCAAUGGGCGAAAGCCUGACGGAGCAACGCCGCGUGAGUGAUGAAGGUCUUCGGAUCGUAAAACUCUGUUAUUAGGGAAGAACAUAUGUGUAAGUAACUGUGCACAUCUUGACGGUACCUAAUCAGAAAGCCACGGCUAACUACGUG